rnacentral:rRNA from 1 species
ACCCGCUGAACUUAAGCAUAUCAAUAAGCGGAGGAAAAGAAACCAACAGGGAUUGCCUCAGUAACGGCGAGUGAAGCGGCAACAGCUCAAAUUUGAAAUCUGGCCUCACGGUCCGAGUUGUAAUUUGUAGAGGAUGUUUUGGGUACCGCCACGGUUUAAAUUUCUUGGAACAGAAUGUCAAAGAGGGUGAGAGUCCCGUCUUGGACCGCGGUAGGGCCUGUGUAAAACUCCUUCGACGAGUCGACUUGUUUGGGAAUGCAGGUCAAAAUGGGUGGUAAAUUUCAUCUAAAGCUAAAUAUUGGCCAGAGACCGAUAGCGCACAAGUAGAGUGAUCGAAAGAUGAAAAGCACUUUGAAAAGAGAGUUAAACAGUAUGUGAAAUUGUUGAAAGGGAAGCGCUGGCAACCAGACUCGUGCGCGGGGUUCCCCCUUGCUUCUGCUUGGGUUACUUCCCCGUGUCCGGGCCAUCAUCAGUUUCGGGGGCCGGUUAAAGGCCUUGGGAAUGUAUCCACGCCUUCGGGUGUGGACUUAUAGCCCAGGGUGUCAUGCGGCCACUCGGGACUGAGGAACGCGCUUCGGCGAGGAUGAUGGCGUAAUGGUUGU